CCCUGCGCUGUUCGAGGUAUCUGGCCGACGUCCCUGAGCCGAUGCUUUUUCACCCGGGGGUUCCUUCUGAUGUGGGAGUGCAUGUCCGCACGACGGAAAGCCCGAUGCAUCAUAGGAACCACCACCUUGAACCUUGGGUUCAAGGGCUACCGCCAGUCACGGCAGAACGGGGG
rnacentral:other from 1 species